CUGUCGUAAUAAUAAGUAAAUAAAUUCUGUAUUUAUAUUUUAGAUAAAAACAUACAGUGUAAUUUAUUACAAGCACCAUUGUAUCUAGAGUUGAGAGGAUUUAGUAUUGAGGAUCCAGUUAAAAGAAAAUGUUUACUAAGAUCCAUAUUUGGUUGGAUAAUUCUUCAAAAUUUUGUUUAUUUACCCGUCAUGUUUAUAUUUCUACGAAAUGUACCAAUUAUUUCACUAAAUAUACAUGAUAUUUCACUCAAUAUAUUUACAAUAAUGUGGAUUAUAAAUUUUAUUAUAUCUGCGCUACUAUAUCGUUUUCGGAAUUUCCGACGACCUUUUGUGAAUGCCUAUCUAUCGUUUAUCUUUGUAACAAUACUAUGUGCAAUUCUAAUGGGAAUUUUUGCGAAUUUAAUGAAUACUUUAACGGUCAUCUUACAACCGAUUAUAUUAAUAGUCCAGUUAUUUGCCAUAAUUCUUUACAGCCUGCAGUCUAAAUUUAAAUUGACUAAUUUUCGAGCCUUUAUAAUUGUAUUAAUAGUUUAUUUAGCAUUUAUUUUAGCAAAUGUUUUCAUCUUUCAUUAUUCGACAUUCUAUAGUACGAGUACAUUAAGUUUUACCAUAGCUAUUUAUAUUAUCUUCGAUACUCAAUUGAUGCUAACAUCACCGAUACAUAACUAUCAAUUGGCUGCAAAUGAACAUGUUUUUGGAGCGGUAAAUUUAUUUGCUGAUCAAGCGAAAUUGGGUUGGCUGCUAUUCAGAUGUUUCUUUUUGGACAGUACAAUAACGUUUUGUAGGAAUGCUUUUAAAACUAUGACAUCGAAGUUGUAUUAAGUUGUAAGAUUUUGAAAGUAACAAAAAAUAAAUAUUCA